rnacentral:rRNA from 1 species
UACGAAGGGGGCUAGCGUUGCUCGGAAUUACUGGGCGUAAAGCGCACGUAGGCGGAUCUUUAAGUCAGGGGUGAAAUCCUGGAGCUCAACUCCAGAACUGCCUUUGAUACUGAGGACCUUGAGUCCGGGAGAGGUGAGUGGAACUGCGAGUGUAGAGGUGAAAUUCGUAGAUAUUCGCAAGAACACCAGUGGCGAAGGCGGCUCACUGGCCCGGUACUGACGCUGAGGUGCGAAAGCGUGGGGAGCAAACAGGG